GUGCCAGCCGCCGCGGUAAUACGAAGGGUGCAAACGUUGCUCGGAAUCAUUGGGCGUAAAGCGCACGUAGGCGGCCUCGCAAGUUGGAUGUGAAAUCCCUCGGCUCAACCGAGGACGUGCAUCCAAAACUGCUUGGCUUGAGUACUGAAGAGGAUCGCGGAAUUCCCGGUGUAGAGGUGAAAUUCGUAGAUAUCGGGAGGAACACCAGUGGCGAAGGCGGCGAUCUGGGCAGAUACUGACGCUGAGGUGCGAAAGCGUGGGGAGCAAACAGGAUUAGAAACCCCUGUAGUCC
rnacentral:rRNA from 1 species